rnacentral:rRNA from 1 species
UACAGGGGGUGCAAACGUUGCUCGGAAUCAUUGGGCGUAAAGCGCGCGUAGGCGGUUACUUAAGUCGGAUGUGAAAGCCCUUGGCUCAACCAAGGAAGUGCACCCGAAACUGAGUAGCUUGAGUACGGAAGAGGGUCGCGGAAUUCCCGGUGUAGAGGUGAAAUUCGUAGAUAUCGGGAGGAACACCGGUGGCGAAGGCGGCGACCUGGGUCGAUACUGACGCUGAGGCGCGAAAGCGUGGGGAGCAAACAGG